AGCAAGAAAUGACCAGCAAUAUAGCCCUACUUCUGCAAUCAACAGCCUCUCGUGACUGAUGAGGAGAUGCUAGUGCUCUGUUUCCCACAAGAGUCUCCCAGACAUAUGGCAGGGCUGAAGGAUGCCUUGGUGGUCCUGUUGGCUAGUCUGCAGAGAGUGUGGGAAUAAUAAAGCUCAGACCUUCUAAACAACACCAUCAGAACAUGAAGAUUUUAUAGAAGUAUGAAAUGAUGCUAAAGAUAUGAUCUCACCUGCCACUGAAAGAGGCAGAAGGAAUUGGAGAGGAUCAUUAGCAUUCACCAAUUCUUUCCUUGCCAAAAAUCACCAUUAUCUAUGUCAUAUUCCUCUCAUGAAGUAUGUCAUCUCUCCCCAACCCCUUUCAGCUUCAACAGAGUUCUCCAAGGGAUUAAACAGAAUCUUGGUUCAAUGAAAAGCUUCAGUGAGCAAAGUAACUCUCCUUUCCAUCCAAAGACCUGCCUGAUGAUCUCAGUUCAAUCAAGCUUGUAUGUCAUGUUGGCACCCUUAUAUCUGAAUCCCUUCAAGUUGAUGAUUACUACAUCAGUUGGCUCCAUUGGAAGAAAGAACAUGAUUGAAUGAGAAGCUUUGACAUUUGAAAAUCAACAUUGUUUA
rnacentral:lncRNA from 1 species